CCUACGGCGGCUGCAGUGGGGAAUAUUGCACAAUGGGCGCAAGCCUGAUGCAGCCAUGCCGCGUGUGUGCAGAAGGCCUUCGGGUUGUAAAGCACUUUCAGCGGGGAGGAAGGCGUUAAGGUUUAUAACCUUGGCGAUUGACGUUACCCGCAGAAGAAGCACCGGCUAACUCCGUGCCAGCAGCCGCGGUAAUACGGAGGGUGCAAGCGUUAAUCGGAAUUACUGGGCGUAAAGCGCACGCAGGCGGUCUGUCAAGUCGGAUGUGAAAUCCCCGGGCUCAACCUGGGAACUGCAUUCGAAACUGGCAGGCUAGAGUCUUGUAGAGGGGGGUAGAAUUCCAGGUGUAGCGGUGAAAUGCGUAGAGAUCUGGAGGAAUACCGGUGGCGAAGGCGGCCCCCUGGACAAAGACUGACGCUCAGGUGCGAAAGCGUGGGGAGCAAACAGGAUUAGAUACCCGAGUAGUC
rnacentral:rRNA from 1 species